AUUGAACGCUGGCGGCAUGCCUUACACAUGCAAGUCGAACGACAGCACGGAGCUUGCUCUGGUGGCGAGUGGCGAACGGGUGAGUAAUAUAUCGGAACGUACCCUAGAGUGGGGGAUAACGUAGCGAAAGUUACGCUAAUACCGCAUACGAUCUAAGGAUGAAAGUGGGGGAUCGCAAGACCUCAUGCUCGUGGAGCGGCCGAUAUCUGAUUAGCUAGUUGGUAGGGUAAAAGCCUACCAAGGCAUCGAUCAGUAGCUGGCCUGAGAGGACGACCAGCCACACUGGAACUGAGACACGGUCCAGACUCCUACGGGAGGCAGCAGUGGGGAAUUUUGGACAAUGGGCGAAAGCCUGAUCCAGCAAUGCCGCGUGAGUGAAGAAGGCCUUCGGGCUGUAAAGCUCUUUUGUCAGGGAAGAAACGGUGAGAGCUAAUAUCUCUUGCUAAUGACGGUACCUGAAGAAUAAGCACCGGCUAACUACGUGCCAGCAGCCGCGGUAAUACGUAGGGUGCAAGCGUUAAUCGGAAUUACUGGGCGUAAAGCGUGCGCAGGCGGUUUUGUAAGUCUGAUGUGAAAUCCCCGGGCUCAACCUGGGAAUUGCAUUGGAGACUGCAAGGCUAGAAUCUGGCAGAGGGGGGUAGAAUUCCACGUGCAGCAGUGAAAUGCGUAGAUAUGUGGAGGAACACCGAUGGCGAAGGCAGCCCCCUGGGUCAAGAUUGACGCUCAUGCACGAAAGCGUGGGGAGCAAACAGGAUUAGAUACCCUGGUAGUCCACGCCCUAAACGAUGUCUACUAGUUGUCGGGUCUUAAUUGACUUGGUAACGCAGCUAACGCGUGAAGUAGACCGCCUGGGGAGUACGGUCGCAAGAUUAAAACUCAAAGGAAUUGACGGGGACCCGCACAAGCGGUGGAUGAUGUGGAUUAAUUCGAUGCAACGCGAAAAACCUUACCUACCCUUGACAUGGCUGGAAUCCUUGAGAGAUCAGGGAGUGCUCGAAAGAGAACCAGUACACAGGUGCUGCAUGGCUGUCGUCAGCUCGUGUCGUGAGAUGUUGGGUUAAGUCCCGCAACGAGCGCAACCCUUGUCAUUAGUUGCUACGAAAGGGCACUCUAAUGAGACUGCCGGUGACAAACCGGAGGAAGGUGGGGAUGACGUCAAGUCCUCAUGGCCCUUAUGGGUAGGGCUUCACACGUCAUACAAUGGUACAUACAGAGCGCCGCCAACCCGCGAGGGGGAGCUAAUCGCAGAAAGUGUAUCGUAGUCCGGAUUGUAGUCUGCAACUCGACUGCAUGAAGUUGGAAUCGCUAGUAAUCGCGGAUCAGCAUGUCGCGGUGAAUACGUUCCCGGGUCU
rnacentral:rRNA from 1 species